rnacentral:rRNA from 1 species
ACACGUGGGUAACCUGCCUUAUAGUGGGGGAUAGCCUCUCGAAAGGAAGAUUAAUACCGCAUAAGAUUGUAGUAUCGCAUGAUAUAGCAAUUAAAGGAGCAAUUCGCUAUAAGAUGGACCCGCGUCGCAUUAGCUAGUUGGUGAGGUAAUGGCUCACCAAGGCGACGAUGCGUAGCCGACCUGAGAGGGUGAACGGCCACAUUGGGACUGAGACACGGCCCAGACUCCUACGGGAGGCAGCAUG